GUGCAGCAGGCGCGAAACCUCCGCAAUACACGAAAGUGUGACGGGGCCAUCCCGAGUGCCGUCCGCUGAGGACGGCUUUUCCCCAGUGUACACAGCUGGGGGAAUAAGGAGAGGGCAAGCCUGGUGUCAGCCGCCGCGGUAAUACCAGCUCUCCGAGUGGUGGGGACGCUUAUUGGGCCUAAAGCAUCCGUAGCCGGCUGGGCAAGUCCUCCGUUAAAUCCAACGAUUCAAUCGUUGGGCUGCGGGGGAUACUGUCCAGCUUGGGGGCGGGAGAGGCCGACGGUAUUCCCGGGGUAGGGUGAAAUCCUAUAAUCCCGGGAGGACCACCAGUGGCGAAGGCUGUCGGCUAGAACGCGCCCGACGGUGAGGGAUGAAAGCUGGGGGAGCGAACCGGAUUAGAUACCCGGGUAGU
rnacentral:rRNA from 1 species